GCGCCCGUAGCUCAACUGGACAGAGUAUCUGACUUCGGAUCAGAGGGUUGGGGGUUCGAAUCCCUCCGGGCGCGCCA
rnacentral:tRNA from 2 species